rnacentral:lncRNA from 1 species
ACAUUUUCGCAUCAGUGAGAAGAAAGGGAAACACUAUCCACAACAUAGGAGGAACUAAUUCGUUAAUCUCAAAUCCGAAAGAGAUGAAAGUGGCAAUCUGCAGUUCUAUGAAAUUUUAUUCUCUAAUAUUGAAGGGAAUAGACCUCCUCUACUAAGAAUCCAUUUAAAAAUGUGAGCCCAUUUUCUGUAGCUUUCCUUGAAACACAGAUUUCUGUUGAAGAAGUCUCUAAUGCUGUUAGAUAUUGCGAUGGGAACAAGGCGUCUGGGACGGACGAAUUCAAUUUUAAUUUCUUCAAAAAGCUCUGAGAUAUUUUAGUUGAUGAUUUUAUGAUUCUUGUUGACCAUUUUUCCAAAGAGAGUCUCCUGCCAAAGGAUCUUUGUUCAUCCUUCAUGUUUCUCAUUCCAAAGGUUGAA